UACAGAGGUUGCAAGCGUUAAUCGGAAUUACUGGGCGUAAAGCGCACGUAGGCGGUUUAAUAAGUCGGAUGUGAAAGCCCUGGGCUCAACCUAGGAAUUGCACUCGAUACUAUUAAGCUAGAGUGUGGUAGAGGAUGGCGGAAUUCCAGGUGUAGCGGUGAAAUGCGUAGAUAUCUGGAGGAACAUCAGUGGCGAAGGCGGCCAUCUGGACCAACACUGACGCUGAGGUGCGAAAGCGUGGGGAGCAAACAGG
rnacentral:rRNA from 1 species